rnacentral:rRNA from 1 species
GACGAACGCUGGCGGCGUGCUUAACACAUGCAAGUCGAACGGAAAGGCCCUGCUUUUGUGGGGUGCUCGAGUGGCGAACGGGUGAGUAACACGGGAGUAACCUGCCCUUGACUUUGGGAUAACUUCAGGAAACUGGGGCUAAUACCGGAUAGGAGCUCCUGCUGCAUGGUGGGGGUUGGAAAGUUUCGGCGGUUGGGGAUGGACUCGCGGCCUGUCAGCUUGUUGGUGGGGUAGUGGCUUACCAAGGCUUUGACGGGUAGCCGGCCUGCGAGGGUGACCGGCCACAUUGGGACUGAGAUACGGCCCAGACUCCUACGGGAGGCAGCAGUGGGGAAUAUUGCACAAUGGGCGGAAGCCUGAUGCAGCAACGCCGCGUGCGGGAUGACGGCCUUCGGGUUGUAAACCGCUUUCGCCUGUGACGAAGCGUGAGUGACGGUAAUGGGUAAAGAAGCACCGGCGAACUACGUG